GCGAAAAGAACCCCGGCGAGGGGAGUGAAAAAGAACCUGAAACCGUGUACGUACAAGCAGUGGGAGCACGCUUAGGCGUGUGACUGCGUACCUUUUGUAUAAUGGGUCAGCGACUUAUAUUCUGUAGCAAGGUUAACCGAAUAGGGGAGCCGAAGGGAAACCGAGUCUUAACUGGGCGUUAAGUUGCAGGGUAUAGACCCGAAACCCGGUGAUCUAGCCAUGGGCAGGUUGAAGGUUGGGUAACACUAACUGGAGGACCGAACCGACUAAUGUUGAAAAAUUAGCGGAUGACUUGUGGCUGGGGGUGAAAGGCCAAUCAAACCGGGAGAUAGCUGGUUCUCCCCGAAAGCUAUUUAGGUAGCGCCUCGUGAAUUCAUCUCCGGGGGUAGAGCACUGUUUCGGCAAGGGGGUCAUCCCGACUUACCAACCCGAUGCAAACUGCGAAUACCGGAGAAUGUUAUCACGGGAGACACACGGCGGGUGCUAACGUCCGUCGUGAAGAGGGAAACAACCCAGACCGCCAGCUAAGGUCCCAAAGUCAUGGUUAAGUGGGAAACGAUGUGGGAAGGCCCAGACAGCCAGGAUGUUGGCUUAGAAGCAGCCAUCAUUUAAAGAAAGCGUAAUAGCUCACUGGUCGAGUCGGCCUGCGCGGAAGAUGUAACGGGGCUAAACCAUGCACCGAAGCUGCGGCAGCGACACUGUGUGUUGUUGGGUAGGGGAGCGUUCUGUAAGCCUGCGAAGGUGUGCUGUGAGGCAUGCUGGAGGUAUCAGAAGUGCGAAUGCUGACAUAAGUAACGAUAAAGCGGGUGAAAAGCCCGCUCGCCGGAAGACCAAGGGUUCCUGUCCAACGUUAAUCGGGGCAGGGUGAGUCGACCCCUAAGGCGAGGCCGAAAGGCGUAGUCGAUGGGAAACAGGUUAAUAUUCCUGUACUUGGUGUUACUGCGAAGGGGGGACGGAGAAGGCUAUGUUGGCCGGGCGACGGUUGUCCCGGUUUAAGCGUGUAGGCUGGUUUUCCAGGCAAAUCCGGAAAAUCAAGGCUGAGGCGUGAUGACGAGGCACUACGGUGCUGAAGCAACAAAUGCCCUGCUUCCAGGAAAAGCCUCUAAGCAUCAGGUAACAUCAAAUCGUACCCCAAACCGACACAGGUGGUCAGGUAGAGAAUACCAAGGCGCUUGAGAGAACUCGGGUGAAGGAACUAGGCAAAAUGGUGCCGUAACUUCGGGAGAAGGCACGCUGAUAUGUAGGUGAAGUCCCUCGCGGAUGGAGCUGAAAUCAGUCGAAGAUACCAGCUGGCUGCAACUGUUUAUUAAAAACACAGCACUGUGCAAACACGAAAGUGGACGUAUACGGUGUGACGCCUGCCCGGUGCCGGAAGGUUAAUUGAUGGGGUCAGCGCAAGCGAAGCUCUUGAUCGAAGCCCCGGUAAACGGCGGCCGUAACUAUAACGGUCCUAAGGUAGCGAAAUUCCUUGUCGGGUAAGUUCCGACCUGCACGAAUGGCGUAAUGAUGGCCAGGCUGUCUCCACCCGAGACUCAGUGAAAUUGAACUCGCUGUGAAGAUGCAGUGUACCCGCGGCAAGACGGAAAGACCCCGUGAACCUUUACUAUAGCUUGACACUGAACAUUGAGCCUUGAUGUGUAGGAUAGGUGGGAGGCUUUGAAGUGUGGACGCCAGUCUGCAUGGAGCCGACCUUGAAAUACCACCCUUUAAUGUUUGAUGUUCUAACGUUGACCCGUGAUCCGGGUUGCGGACAGUGUCUGGUGGGUAGUUUGACUGGGGCGGUCUCCUCCUAAAGAGUAACGGAGGAGCACGAAGGUUGGCUAAUCCUGGUCGGACAUCAGGAGGUUAGUGCAAUGGCAUAAGCCAGCUUGACUGCGAGCGUGACGGCGCGAGCAGGUGCGAAAGCAGGUCAUAGUGAUCCGGUGGUUCUGAAUGGAAGGGCCAUCGCUCAACGGAUAAAAGGUACUCCGGGGAUAACAGGCUGAUACCGCCCAAGAGUUCAUAUCGACGGCGGUGUUUGGCACCUCGAUGUCGGCUCAUCACAUCCUGGGGCUGAAGUAGGUCCCAAGGGUAUGGCUGUUCGCCAUUUAAAGUGGUACGCGAGCUGGGUUUAGAACGUCGUGAGACAGUUCGGUCCCUAUCUGCCGUGGGCGCUGGAGAACUGAGGGGGGCUGCUCCUAGUACGAGAGGACCGGAGUGGACGCAUCACUGGUGUUCGGGUUGUCAUGCCAAUGGCACUGCCCGGUAGCUAAAUGCGGAAGAGAUAAGUGCUGAAAGCAUCUAAGCACGAAACUUGCCCCGAGAUGAGUUCUCCCUGACUCCUUGAGAGUCCUGAAGGAACGUUGAAGACGACGACGUUGAUAGGCCGGGUGUGUAAGCGCAGCGAUGCGUUGAGCUAACCGGUACUAAUGAACCGUGAGGCUUAACCUUACAACGCCGAAGGUGUUU
rnacentral:rRNA from 1 species